rnacentral:rRNA from 1 species
GCCAACGGCCAUACCAUGUUGAAUACACCGGUUCUCGUCCGAUCACCGAAGUUAAGCGACUUCGGGCGUGGUUAGUACCUGGAUGGGUGACCGCCUGGGAACACCGCGUGCUGUUGGCA